ACGGUAGGCUCUUGUACAUACGUCGUAAUACGUCAUCACCAAGCGUCCGCUGCAUGGACCAGAAUAAAGUCUGCCGCCAGUCAGAGUUUUAACAACAAUGAAAAACAACACAGAGAACACAGUUCGCACUUUGCUGAGUCUGUUGCUUAUUUGGAUAUAUGUUUACCGUUUAAUGGGAAAGAAGGCUCGUCGCCAUUAUUAUGUCCGUGGUCGUCGCAUGGACUAUACGUCAUCCAGCUCAGGUUGCGUAGCCGUGCGUGAGCGCGUCGGCUCAUUAGCAUCUGUACCGUAGCGGCCCGUGCCGUAGCAGCACACCUCUCCCAAGUGGCCAAAUUGGCCCGGCCUGGCCAGACUGGCCACACUCACACUGGCAGAUUUGAGCACGGUUAGGUGCUAAAACGGCCACGGCCACGGCCAGAUGGCCUAGUGUGAGUGCACCCUAAACUACAGGUAAAGACCUCUCUAAACUACAGAUAUAGACCUCUCUAAACUACAGGUAAAGACCUCUCUAAACUACAGGUAUAGACCUCUCUAAACUACAGGUAUAGACCUCUCUAAACUACAGGUAAAGACCUCUCUAAAUUACAGAUAUAGACCUCUCUAAACUACAGGUAUAGACCUCUCUAAACUACAGGUAAAGAUAUCUAAACUACAGGUAAAGACCUCUCUAAACUAAAGGUAGAGACCUCUCUAAACUACAGGUAAAGACCUCUCUAAACUACAGGUGAAGACCUCUCUAAACUACAGGUAAAGACCUCUCUAAACUACAGGUAAAGACCUCUCUAGACUACAGGCAAAGACCUCUCUAAACUACACAGCUAAAGUCCUCUCUAAACUACAGGUAAAGACCUCUCUAAACUACAGGUAAAGACCUCUCUAAACUACAGGUAAAGACCUCUCUUUAAACUACACAGCUAAAGACCUCUCUAAGCUACACUGGUAUAGACCCCUCUUUAAACUACACUGUAUGAACUCUUUUUAAACUACACAGGUAGUGUAUUAACCUCGUUAAACUACACAGUUUUUAAAGUACACACUUCCACGGUAAAGACCUUGUAUACCUACCUUUAAAUUACUUGUGUGGUUGUGUGUGUGUGUGUGUGUGUGUGUGUGUGUGUGUGUGUGUGUGUGUGUGUGUGUGUGUGUGUGUGUGUGUGUGUGUGUGUGUGUGUGUGUGUGUGUGUGUCAGAGUCCCUAUAGGUUCCGGUGUUAAGAGGGUCAGUCGAAGUCCGUCCACCUCAAACCUCAGAAGGCUAGGCAACUCCCUGGGCGACCUCUACGGCGGUGAGGUGGAGGAGGCCAGGCAGACCUACAGCCCUCUUCACCCCCCGUCCUCUCCUCGCUCCCCCGCGGCCACCCUCCUCCCCCGGGGCCCCCGAGUGCCGCCCAAGGACCCCGGUCAGUACUUUGGCGCCCCUGGGAGGCCCAGUGGGAAGAAGGAUCCGGGGCCGCAGGCUCCCUACAGCGGGCUGAAGGCAGCCUCCGGGCGAUACCUCAGCCGCUCGAUUCCUUCGCUUCAGUCGCAGUACGCAGAAUACUGAGGAGCAAAGCUGGACCAGAAGUAGGAGGCUGGGCUUUAUGGGCCAGCCUCCCUCACCCUACCUCACCCUAACUGACCCUCCCUCCCCCUCCCUCACCCUAACUGACCCUAACUGACCCUCCCUCAGCCUGCCUCACCCUAACUGACCCUACCUCACCCUAACUGACCCUACCUCACCCUAACUGACCCUCCCUCAGCCUGCCUCACCCUAACUGACCCUACCUCACCCUAUCCUUCCCUAGCCUACCAUAGCCUAUUCUGCUCUUCCCUACCGUAACUGACCCUAGCCUAACCUACCCUACCUAACCCUAGAUUAACCUUACCCUACCCUAGCCUACCUUACCCAAGCCUACCUAACCUUACCCUAGCCUAGCCUAGCUUACCUAACCUUACCCCUAGCCUACCCUACCCAAGCCUACAUAACCAUACUCUACCCUAGCCUACCUAACCCAAGCCUACCUAACCCAAGCCUACCCUAGCCUAGCUUACCUAACCUUGCCCUACCCUACCCUAGCCUACCUAAGCCUACCCUACCCUACCCCAGCCUACCUUAUGGACAGGGCAGCUCCAGGAGAACUGCUGUGCCCUACAAUAUGAGCACUGGUUGUUUUGUCUAUAUUAUUACAAUGCAUUGUGGGUACACACUUAAGACAUAAAAUACUAUAUAUUUCCAUUACAUUGGUUUUAUAUUUCUUCACCCCAUGAAGACAUUUUCAUAUGUAGAAUAAAUAUUUUUGUUUAAAGAUUUUA
ensembl:lncRNA